ensembl:snRNA
GUGUUAUAUGAAAGGAGAGAAGGUUAGCACUCUCCUCGACAAGGAUGGAAGAGGCCUUGGGCCUGACAACACACAUACGGUUUUUAAAAAAUUUGU